UACGAAGGGUGCGAGCGUUACUCGGAAUUACUGGGCGUAAAGCGUGCGUAGGUGGUCUGUUAAGUCUGUUGUGAAAGCCCCGGGCUCAACCUGGGAAUGGCAAUGGAUACUGGCAAGCUAGAGUGCGGUAGAGGGUAGUGGAAUUCCCGGUGUAGCGGUGAAAUGCGUAGAGAUCGGGAGGAACACCAGUGGCGAAGGCGGCUACCUGGACCAGCACUGACACUGAGGCACGAAAGCGUGGGGAGCAAACAGG
rnacentral:rRNA from 1 species